ensembl:snRNA U6 U6 spliceosomal RNA
GUGCUCACUUUGGCAGCACAUGUGAUAAAAUUGGAAUGAAUCAGAGAAGAUUGGCAUGGCUCCUAUGCAAGGAUGACAUGCAGAUUUAACAAUUUAG